rnacentral:tRNA from 1 species
GCUGGCGUAGCUCAGUUGGUAGAGCAGCUGAUUUGUAAUCAGCAGGUCGGGGGUUCGAAGCCUCUCGCCAGCU